CCUACGGGAGGCAGCAGUGGGGAAUUUUGGACAAUGGGCGCAAGCCUGAUCCAGCCAUGCCGCGUGUGGGAAGAAGGCCUUCGGGUUGUAAACCACUUUUGUCAGGGAAGAAACGGUCUGAACUAAUACUUUGGACUAAUGACGGUACCUGAAGAAUAAGCACCGGCUAACUACGUGCCAGCAGCCGCGGUAAUACGUAGGGUGCAAGCGUUAAUCGGAAUUACUGGGCGUAAAGCGUGCGCAGGCGGCUUUGCAAGACAGAUGUGAAAUCCCCGGGCUCAACCUGGGAACUGCAUUUGUGACUGCAUGGCUAGAGUACGGUAGAGGGGGAUGGAAUUCCGCGUGUAGCAGUGAAAUGCGUAGAUAUGCGGAGGAACACCGAUGGCGAAGGCAAUCCCCUGGACCUGUACUGACGCUCAUGCACGAAAGCGUGGGGAGCAAACAGGAUUAGAUACCCUGGUAGUCCACGCCCUAAACGAUGUCAACUGGUUGUUGGGAGGGUUUCUUCUCAGUAACGAAGCUAACGCGUGAAGUUGACCGCCUGGGGAGUACGGCCGCAAGGUUGAAACUCAAAUGAAUUGACGGCUGAGAGNGCGAGACGACGACGAGGGAGGAGG
rnacentral:rRNA from 1 species